rnacentral:rRNA from 1 species
UACAGAGGUCUCAAGCGUUGUUCGGAUUCAUUGGGCGUAAAGGGUGCGUAGGCGGCGCGGUAAGUCGGGUGUGAAAUCUUGGAGCUUAACUCCGAAACUGCAUUCGAUACUGCCGUGCUUGAGGACUGGAGAGGAGACUGGAAUUUACGGUGUAGCGGUGAAAUGCGUAGAUAUCGUAAGGAAGACCAGUGGCGAAGGCGGGGUCUCUGGACAGUUCCUGACGCUGAGGCACGAAGGCCAGGGGGAGCAAACGGGG